rnacentral:rRNA from 1 species
AAAAUUUUAAAGGUCGAACAGACCUAAACUUUCAGCUUCUGCACCAAAAUUAAAUUUUAAUCCAACAUCGAGGUCGCAAACCCUUCUUUCGAUUUGGACUCUCAAGAAAGAUUACGCUGUUAUCCCUAAGGUAAUUUUAUCUUAUAAUCAUAAAAAUGGAUCAAUAAACCAUCAAUUAAUGUUUAAAUAAAAAAAAGUUUAUUCAAUUUUUCAAUCGCCCCAACCAAAUAAAUUUUACAAUAUUACAAAAUAAUCCUAAAAAAAAAAUAUUAUAAAAAAUAUAAAACUCUAAAGGGUCUUCUCGUCUUUUAAUAAAAUUUAAGCUUUUUUACCUAAAAAUAAAAUUCUAAAAAUUUAAAAAGAGACAGUAAUUCCCUCAUCCAGCCAUUCAUUCCAGCUUUCAAUUAAAAAACUAAUUAUUAUGCUACCUUUGCACGGUCAAAAUACCGCGGCCAUUUAAUAAAUCAGCGGGCAGGCUAGACCUCAAAUUAUAAUCAAGAGGCC